GACAGAGGGGGCAAGCGUUGCUCGGAAUUACUGGGCGUAAAGAGCGCGUAGGCGGUCUGACAAGUCCCCUGUGAAAGCCCCCGGCUUAACCGGGGAACUGCAUGGGAUACUGUUGGGCUAGAGUGCAGGAGGGGAGAGCGGAAUUCCAGGUGUAGCGGUGAAAUGCGUAGAUAUCUGGAGGAACACCGGUGGCGAAGGCGGCAUCCUGGACCGACACUGACGCUGAGGAGCGAAAGCCAGGGGAGCAAACGGG
rnacentral:rRNA from 1 species